GUGUCAGCCGCCGCGGUAAUACGUAGGGCGCAAGCGUUGUCCGGAAUUAUUGGGCGUAAAGAGCUCGUAGGCGGUUUGUCGCGUCUGCUGUGAAAACGCGAGGCUUAACCUCGCGCCUGCAGUGGGUACGGGCAGACUAGAGUGCGGUAGGGGAGACUGGAAUUCCUGGUGUAGCGGUGGAAUGCGCAGAUAUCAGGAGGAACACCGGUGGCGAAGGCGGGUCUCUGGGCCGUUACUGACGCUGAGGAGCGAAAGCAUGGGGAGCGAACAGGAUUAGAUACCCUGGUAGUCC
rnacentral:rRNA from 1 species